CUUGAAUCAAAAUUAAAUUUCACAAGUUCUAUAAUAAAUGUGGUCUUAAAAAUAUUCUUUCUAGUUUGUUUUGACAAAUUAUUUUCUCUUCCUACAGAAAGCAUAAAAUGCUUAAGUGACAACAAGUUUUCUACUAAAAGUGGCGAUUUACAUUGCGAUCUAUCUUGUCAGUGUCCAGACGAUGAUCAAAAGGAGGUCACUACCUUUUACGUCGGAUGUCAAAAAUGUUGUUGUGUUGGGAUCAAGUAUAAACGUCUUGAAAAAGUUCUUCAUGAGACCAACGAAAAACUGAAAUCUGUACAGCAGGGAUAUCGAAAUCUAACAGAAUAUUAUACCAUUUUAAAGAAUGUAUCUGAAGAGAAAACAAUAGCACUUUUUGAAAGCAACAAAAAACUGAAAUCUGCACAGCAGGAAUAUUGAAAUCUGACAGAAUAUUAUACCAUUUUAAAGACAAUAUAUGAAAAGAAUGCAAUAGCGCUUUAUGAAAGCAACAAAAGUCUUGAAUCUGCACUGAAAGAAAAUCAAAACUUAUCAGAAUAUUAUAUCAAUCAAAAGAAAAAAUUAAAAGAAAAAGUUAGCCAAUUAGAAAUCAAAAUCUUUGAUUUUACCAUAGCUAUAGUUUUAGUAGCAUUUGGUUUGCUUGCAAUUAUUGGAGCUAUCAUUUUAAUUGUUUUUUUCAAAACUCAAAUGAAAACAUUUAUUUCUCGAUUUUUUCAUACUUCAAAUGUGACUACAGAUUCUCAAGGUCUUAGAGAUUCGAAAGGGAUUUCUAUG